rnacentral:rRNA from 1 species
AUUGAACGCUGGCGGCAUGCCUAACACAUGCAAGUCGAGCGGAAGAAGGCAGCUUGCUCCUGGAUUCAGCGGCGCGCGGGUGUGUAAUGCCUAGGAAUCUGCCUGCUAGGGGGGUAUCACGUCCGGAGACGAGCGCUUAUACCGCAUACUUUCUGAGUGAGAACGUGGGGGCGCUUCGGACCUCACGCUAGCAGAUGAGCCUAGGUCGGAUUAGCUAGUUGGUGGGGUAAAGGCCUACCAAGGCCACGAUCCGUAGCUGGUCUGAGAGGAAGAUCAGUCACACUGGAACUGAGACACGGUCCAGACUCCUACGGGAGGCAGCAGUGGGGAAUUUUGGACAAUGGGCGCAAGCCUGAUCCAGCAAUGCCGCGUGUGGGAAGAAGGUCUUCGGAUUGUAAAGUGCUUUUGUUUGGGAGGAAGCGCAUUAGGUUAAUACCUUGCUGUAUUGACGUUACCGAAAGAAUAAGCACCGGCUAACUACGUG